UUUCAAACCUAAAAGAUGUUCUGAAUAAAGGUGAGGCUACUGGUCUUCCUUCCCUCAAUCAAGACAUCACAGUCGAGCCUCUAGCAUAUCCAAUGUCCAAAAAUGUUGCAAGUCAUCAAAAACUAAUUGUAAUUCAUCAAACAGCAAUU